rnacentral:rRNA from 1 species
UCUACGGGAGGCUGCAGUCGAGAAUCAUUCACAAUGGGGGAAACCCUGAUGGUGCGACGCCGCGUGGGGGAAUGAAGGUCUUCGGAUUGUAAACCCCUGUCAUGUGGGAGCAAAUUAAAAAGAUAGUACCACACGAGGAAGAGACGGCUAACUCUGUGCCAGCAGCCGCGGUAAUACAGAGGUCUCAAGCGUUGUUCGGAAUCACUGGGCGUAAAGCGUGCGUUGGCUGUUUCGUAGGUCGUGUGUGAAAGGCGCGGGUUCAAGCCGCGGAGGGCACAUGAUACUGCGAGGCUAGAGUGAGGGAGGGGGAACCGGAAUGCUCGGUGUAGCAGUGAAAUGCGUAGAUAUCG